rnacentral:rRNA from 1 species
AUGAACGCUAGCGGCAGGCCUAACACAUGCAAGUCGAGGGGUAACGAUGUCUUCGGACAGUCGACGACCGGCGCACGGGUGAGUAACGCGUAUACAACCUACCUUUAACAGGAGGAUAGCCCCGAGAAAUCGGGAUUAAUACUCCAUAACAUUGAUUUACCGCAUGGUAUUUCGAUUAAAACUCCGGUGGUUAAAGAUGGGUAUGCGUGACAUUAGUUAGUUGGUGAGGUAACGGCUCACCAAGACAGCGAUGUCUAGGGGUUCUGAGAGGAUGAUCCCCCACACUGGUACUGAGACACGGACCAGACUCCUACGGGAGGCAGCAGUGAGGAAUAUUGGUCAAUGGACGCAAGUCUGACGCAGCCAUGCCGCGUGAAGGAAGAAGGCCUUAUGGGUCGUAAACUUCUUUUAUUUAGGAAUAAACUCUCGUUCGUGAACGAGACUGAAGGUACUAAACGAAUAAGCACCGGCUAACUCCGUGCCAGCAGCCGCGGUAAUACGGAGGGUGCAAGCGUUAUCCGGAUUUAUUGGGUUUAAAGGGUGCGCAGGCGGACCAAUAAGUCAGUGGUGAAAUCUCGGGGCUCAACCCCGAAACUGCCAUUGAUACUGCUGGUCUUGAAUACGGUUGAAGUAGGCGGAAUGUAGCAUGUAGCGGUGAAAUGCAUAGAGAUGCUACAGAACACCGAUCGCGAAGGCAGCUUACUAAGCCGAUAUUGACGCUCAGGCACGAAAGCGUGGGGAGCGAACAGGAUUAGAUACCCUGGUAGUCCACGCCGUAAACUAUGAUCACUCGUUGUUGGCAAUACACAGUCAGUGACCAAGCGAAAGCGAUAAGUGAUCCACCUGGGGAGUACGAUCGCAAGGUUGAAACUCAAAGGAAUUGACGGGGGCCCGCACAAGCGGGGGAGAUGUGAAGGAAUUGACGGGGGCCCGCACAAGCGGUGGAGCAUGUGGUUUAAUUCGAUGAUACGCGAGGAACCUUACCUGGGCUCAAAUGCUUAAUGACAAACCCUGAAAGGGGUCUUUCUUCGGACAUUUUGCAAGGUGCUGCAUGGUUGUCGUCAGCUCGUGCCGUGAGGUGUCGGGUUAAGUCCCAUAACGAGCGCAACCCCUACUCUUAGUUGCCAGCAUGUAAUGAUGGGGACUCUAGGAGAACUGCCUACGCAAGUAGAGAGGAAGGUGGGGAUGACGUCAAAUCAGCACGGCCCUUACGUCCAGGGCUACACACGUGCUACAAUGGCCGGUACAGAGGGCAGCCACCUGGUGACAGGGAGCGAAUCUCAAAAGCCGGUCUCAGUUCGGAUCGAAGUCUGCAACCCGACUUCGUGAAGCUGGAAUCGCUAGUAAUCGCGCAUCAGCCAUGGCGCGGUGAAUACGUUCCCGGGCCUUGUACACACCGCCCGUCAAGCCAUGGAAGCUGGGAGUACCUGAAGUCGGUAACCGUAAAGGAGCCGCCUAGGGUAAAACUAGUAACUGGGGCUA